AGCACCAUAUCAUCGAAAAUUCGUCUUCGCACAAACAGGUCUCACGGCAGGCUAUUUUUUGUGGCGAAAUGUUUUGACUUUGAGAUCGAACUUGGCAUCUGUUGGCGUCUUCAUAAAAGAGCUAAAUCACCAUCAGCUAUUGCAAAACCCGCGCGCGAAUAAGGGGUGAGACCGACCGGUGUGUUUACCGCACAAAAUGCUAAUAUUUGAUUUGUCAUGGCACGAGCAAAAGCGGUGGAGUCGGGUUCGAUUGUUGAAUACAAUUACAAAUUUCUUAGCUGGAUGGAUUCAUGGAAUUCAAUAGUCGAGAAAGCGCAGAAUCUAAGAAUCAGGAAGAUCGGAGAGAUGACGAGUCGAAGAAUCAACGAAUCAGAUAAUAGGAAAUGAAUGAAUGAAGGAAUCAAAUAAUCAAUGAAUCUAAGUGUCAAAAAAUCUCAGAAUUAAAGAUUUGAAUAAUUAAAUAAUCAAAGAAUUAAAGAAUCCAAGAAUUAAAGAAGCCAAUAACCAAAAAAUCGAAGAAUCGAGGAAUCGGAGAAUCGAAGAAUUGAAGAUUCGAAGAAUCGAAGAAUUCAAGAA